GACGAACGCUGGCGGCGUGCCUAAUACAUGCAAGUAGAACGCUGAAGGAGGAGCUUACUUCUCUGGAUGAGUUGCGAACGGGUGAGUAACGCGUAGGUAACCUGCCUGGUAGCGGGGGAUAACUAUUGGAAACGAUAGCUAAUACAGCAUAAGAGUAGAUGUUGCAUGACAUUUACUUAAAAGGUGCAAUUGCACCACUACCAGAUGGACCUGCGUUGUAUUAGCUAGUUGGUGGGGUAACGGCUUACCAAGGCGACGAUACAUAGCCGACCUGAGGGGGUGAUCGGCCACACUGGGACUGAGAAACGGCCCAGACUCCUACGGGAGGCAGCAGUAGGGAAUCUUCGGCAAUGGACGGAAGUCUGACCGAGCAACGCCGCGUGAGUGAAGAAGGUUUUCGGAUCGUAAAGCUCUGUUGUAAGAGAAGAACGAGUGUGAGAGUGGAAAGUUCACACUGUGACGGUAUCUUACCAGAAAGGGACGGCUAACUACGUGCCAGCAGCCGCCGUAA
rnacentral:rRNA from 1 species